UUAUCCCUGUGGCUUCUGAGGAGGCCUAUUUUGGUUGUGACAUCUGGGAGAGUUGAUGAAUGCCAAAGGCUUUGAUGGGGAAAA
rnacentral:snoRNA from 1 species